rnacentral:lncRNA from 1 species
CGGCCAGGGCGAGAUCUAAAAACGCGAGGUUUAGGACAGCUAGGGCUUGGUUUUGCGAUUUAGAUGCAAAGGGGAGUUUGCUGCGGUGCUUGGGAGUCUUAUAGGGCGCGAUUGAGCAAGAAAUCCCGGAUUCUUCGGGAUUUGGAAGAUGCGGCUCGAGGCCGGUUGCUCCCUAGCCAUGUCCUUGCCGGUUAUGGCUGAAAGGUAGGGGACGAAUUGCGGCUUACGUGUGGGCCUCGGUCGUCAGCAGGCCAAGGAGGGGAGGAGGGGAGAGCGCGUGUACGACCUAGCCGCUGGGCCGUUCACGGGCCGAGCGCUGGGGGAGAGAGGGGGUGCUGGGCUGCGGGGUGGGAAGGGGAGCUGGGCCUCGGCCUGGUUUCUGGGUUUUUUUUCACUUUUUUCUUUUUAUUUUCUUUUUCAAUUCUUUUUUCAAAGAAGCUUUUGAGCAAAAAUAGAUAAAGUAA